rnacentral:snRNA from 1 species
ACCACUUACUUAUCCUUUAAAAA